AGCGAACGCUGGCGGCAGGCCUAACACAUGCAAGUCGAACGAACCCUUCGGAGUUAGUGGCGGACGGGUGAGUAACACGUGGGAACGUGCCUUUUGGUUCGGAAUAACUCAGGGAAACUUGUGCUAAUACCGAAUGUGCCCUUCGGGGGAAAGAUUUAUCGCCAUUAGAGCGGCCCGCGUCUGAUUAGCUAGUUGGUGAGGUAACGGCUCACCAAGGCGACGAUCAGUAGCUGGUCUGAGAGGAUGACCAGCCACACUGGGACUGAGACACGGCCCAGACUCCUACGGGAGGCAGCAGUGGGGAAUCUUGCGCAAUGGGCGAAAGCCUGACGCAGCCAUGCCGCGUGAAUGAUGAAGGUCCUAGGAUUGUAAAAUUCUUUCACCGGGGACGAUAAUGACGGUACCCGGAGAAGAAGCCCCGGCUAACUUCGUG
rnacentral:rRNA from 1 species